UCCGAAAGGGGCGGUAAUACCGGAUAAUAUCGCUUGUUGAUGGACAAGCGAUCAAAGAUUUAUCGGCACCGAAGCGGCCUAUCUCCUAUCAGCUUGUUGGUGAGGUAAUGGCCCACCAAGGCUCUGACGGGUAGCGGGACUGAGAGGUUGGCCCGCCACAUCGGGACUGAGACACUGCCCGGACCUCCACGGAGGGCUGCAGUAACGAAUAUUGCGCAAUGGGCGAAAGCCUGACGCAGCGACGCCGCGUGUGGGAAGAAGUCUUUAGGGAUGUAAACCACUGUCAGGGUUAAGAAAGUCCGCCUCGGCGGAUUGAUCGACCCCAGAGGAAGUCACGGCUAACUUCGUGCCAGCAGCCGCGGUAAGACGAAGGUGGCAAGCGUUGUUCGGUGUUACUGGGCUUAAAGCGUGUGUAGGCGGAGAGGCAAGCGUCGUGUGAAAUCCCUCGGCUUAACCGAGGAAUUGCUCGGCGAACUGCCCCUCUUGAGGCAGGUAGGGGUGCAUGGAACUCUUGGUGGAGCGGUGGAAUGCGUAGAUAUCAAGAGGAACGCCAGAGGUGAAAACGGUGCACUG
rnacentral:rRNA from 1 species